CGCGUAGGCGGAUUUUCAAGUCAGAUGUGAAAACUAUCGGCUCAACCGGUAGCCUGCAUUUGAAACUGUUGAUCUUGAGUACAGGAGAGGAAAGCGGAAUUCCAGGUGUAGCGGUGAAAUGCGUAGAUAUCUGGAAGAACACCAAUUGCGAAGGCAGCUUUCUGGACUGAUACUGACGCUAAAGCGCGAAGGCUUGGGUAGCAAACA
rnacentral:rRNA from 1 species